AUUUAAUUAUCAUUCUUCCAAUUUAUAGACGAACUUUAUUUCUGAAAUUAUCACUACAAACCUUUCGUUUUUCAUGACCAUUCUUUUCAAACCCUUUGUUUCACUUAUCCUCUCUUUACAUCACUUUUAGUUAGGCUAGAACAAGUAGUUUAAAGGCAUCCCAUUUCUAUCACAAAAUACUCAUGUAAGCAUGUCUAAUCCCUCAUAUUUAUUACUUUGGAAACCUAUUUUGAAAUUUUCAUCAUUAUGAUGUUCUAUUUCUCUCUCACCAUUUAUGUGUCUCAUUUUUGUUGUUUAGUCUAUCUCUUUGUACUUUAUAAUGUGCAUUGCAUAGUUUCCAUUCUCCAUCUUCUUCACUGCAAUUGCAUCAACAACAUGCCAAGAUUGUUGAUAAUUGGCAUUUCCAGUCAGAGAUUCACAUAGAUUGUCAGAGUUUGUCCAGGGUUCCUCUAGAGAAAGGUGAAGAUCUGAUGAAACUAGAGACAUAAGUGUUGGAAGUCCUUCAACCUAUGAUUAUUGACGUAGAGAGAGCAUUUUUUGGUCAAGAUUUCUGGUUCAAGUUAGAGCCUAACAAUUAUCUGAUUGCCACUUGUCAGCUUUCAUGUUAAAAUAUCUCACCCAAAAUCCUUCAUCACUGCAACGCACCCUCAACGUUUCCUAUACUUUUACAUCCCUUUUUGUUUGAUAAAUGUUUCAUAUCCCUUUUUUUAAAAAUAUCUGUUUCACAUCCCUUUUUGUUUCUCUUUAUUAAGUAUCAUUGUUUCCGUAGAAAUGUUAAUUGUUUUUAGGCUAAAUGUUUUGUUUUCUGGCUUCUUUAUUUUGAAAAAAAAUCUAAAUUAUUAAUCUAUGCUUUAUUAGUUAACGAAAUAGUAUAGAGUAAUUAUCAUUUUGUUAAGAAAUAAUUUUUAUAUGUUAAUUCAUUAUUUUUAUCUUUAAAAAUCUUUUUUUUACCAACGCAUGUUCCCAACGGUAAGAAAUUAAAACACUUAUUAUUUUAAUUAUCAUUUUCGAAUUAAAACCAUUAUUUAUUUAAUUAUCCUUGUUCCAAUUUAUAGAUAAAAUUUAUUGCUUUAAUUAUCACUACAAACCUUUCGUUUUACAUGACAAUUUUUUUUCCAAACCCUUCGUUUUACUUAUCCUCUCUUUACAUCACUCUUAGUUAGGUUGGAACAAGUAGUUCAAAGACAUCUCAUUUUUAUCACAAAAUACUCAAUAAGCAUGUCUAAUCCCUCAUAUUUAUUACUCUGAAAACCCAUUUUGAAAUUUUCAUCAUUACAAUGCUAUGUUUCUCUCUCGCCAUUUAUGUCCCAUUUUUGUGUUUAGUCUAUCACUUUGUGCUUCGUAAUUUGCAUUGCACAAUUUCCAUUCUCUAUAUUAUUCACUUCAAUUGCAUCAGUAGCGGGCCAAUAAUUUCGAUAAUUGGCAUUUUCAGUCGAAGAUUCACGAAGAUUGUGAGAGUUUGGUCGAGGUUCCUCUAGAGAAAGGUGAAGAUCUGAUGAAAUUUGAAACAUAAAUGUUUGAAGUCCUUCAACCCAUGAUUGUUGACCUAGAAGGAGCAUUUUUGUUGUUAAGGCUUCUGGUUGAAGUUAGAGCCUAGCAACAUAUCGAUGAAAAGAUUUACUUUGUCAAUAACUAGCACGUGUAAAUAUAUGCAUUCAAUAACACCAUAUAAGAC
rnacentral:lncRNA from 1 species